UACGUAGGGCGCAAGCGUUGUCCGGAAUUAUUGGGCGUAAAGAGCUCGUAGGCGGCUUGUCACGUCGGGUGUGCAAGCCCGGGGCUUAACCCCGGGUCUGCAUUCGAUACGGGCUAGCUAGAGUGUGGUAGGGGAGAUCGGAAUUCCUGGUGUAGCGGUGAAAUGCGCAGAUAUCAGGAGGAACACCGGUGGCGAAGGCGGAUCUCUGGGCCGAUACUGACGCUGAGGAGCGAAAGCGUGGGGAGCGAACAGG
rnacentral:rRNA from 1 species